rnacentral:lncRNA from 1 species
GCAGGACAAGGGCCGCUUCUGCCUCACCUACGAGGCCUCCAUGACGCGGCUCUUCCGCGAGGGCCGGACGGAGACCGUGCGCUCCUGCACCUCCGAGUCGACCGCCUUCGUGCGGAGCAUGGGGGACGCCGGGCAGAGCGUGAGCACCGCGCCGCCACAUGCCCCUCGCGCUGCACCUUGACCCAAAUCCCUGUCCUUUUGGGUGUCCCCUCCCCUUGGGGACAUCCCCGUCUCCAGCAGAGGCCCCUGCCCCUCGGGGAGGUCCCCGGAGGCAGCACCCGUCACCGCAGGAGGGCCCUGACCCCGAUGGAGGUCCCUGUCCCUUGGGGAUGUCCCCAUCCCUUGGGGAUGUCCCCGUCCCUUGGGACCAUUUCCCCAGAGCCGCGGAGCCGCUGCCAGCCUCAGGCAGGACAGAGGACGUCCCCCCCCGCACAGCGCACCCCGGGGUGGGCAGGUUUUGGGGUGUGCCAGCCCCUGAGCUCGGCUUUCCCCGCAGCGUGCCGAGCGCCAGCGGCUCUUCAAGCUGGCGGCGGAGAAGCACCAGCACAUGUACCGCAUGGCCAUGACCGGCGCCGGCAUCGACCGGCACCUCUUCUGCCUCUACGUGGUGUCCCGAUACCUGGGGGUAGAGUCCCCCUUCCUGGCACAGGUGCUGUCGGAGCCCUGGCGCCUCUCCACCAGCCAGACGCCGCAGCAGCAGCUGAAGAUGUUCGACCUGGACAAGUACCCGGACCACGUCUCCACCGGCGGCGGCUUCGGCCCGGUCGCCGACGAUGGCUACGGCGUCUCCUACAUCAUUGCUGGCGAGAACCUCAUCACCUUCCACGUCUCCAGCAAGUACUCCAGCCCCGAGACGGUGAGGGCUGAGGCUGGGGGCUGGGGGUCCCCGGGGCGGGGGGGGGGGGGGGGGGGGGCCCCCCCGGGGGGCGGGGGGGGGCCCCCCCCCCCCAACCCCACGCAGUGCUGAGCCUCACUGCAUCCCAGUCCCUCUCCGUGGGACCCCGACCACGCUCCAGGCUCACGGAGCUGCCUGUGUAGGACC